rnacentral:rRNA from 1 species
UUGAUCAUGGCUCAGGAUGAACGCUAGCGACAGGCUUAACACAUGCAAGUCGAGGGGCAGCGGGGGCGUAGCAAUAUGCCUGCCGGCGACCGGCGCACGGGUGAGUAACACGUAUGUAACCUGCCCUAUGCAGGGGGAUAACCCGGAGAAAUCCGGCCUAAUACCGCGUAACACCUUUUGGGAGCAUUUCUGGGAGGUUAAAGGAGAGAUCCGGCAUAGGAUGGACAUGCGUCGCAUUAGGUAGACGGCGGGGUAACGGCCCACCGUGCCGACGAUGCGUAGGGGUUCUGAGAGGAAGGCCCCCCACACUGGUACUGAGACACGGACCAGACUCCUACGGGAGGCAGCAGUGAGGAAUAUUGGUCAAUGGCCGAGAGGCUGAACCAGCCAAGUCGCGUGAGGGAAGAAUGUCCUAAGGAUUGUAAACCUCUUUUGUCGGGGAGCAAAAAGGCUCUGCGGAGUCGUAUUGAGAGUACCCGAAGAAAAAGCAUCGGCUAACUCCGUGCCAGCAGCCGCGGUAAUACGGAGGAUGCGAGCGUUAUCCGGAUUUAUUGGGUUUAAAGGGUGCGCAGGCGGCGUGUCAAGCAANGCGGUAAAAAUAGCGGGGCUCAACCCCCGUCGAGCCGUUUGAACUGGCGCGCUUGAGUUCAGGCGAGGUAGGCGGAAUUCGUGGUGUAGCGGUGAAAUGCAUAGAUAUCACGAAGAACUCCGAUUGCGAAGGCAGCUUACCAGUCUGCGACUGACGCUCAGGCACGAAAGUGUGGGUAUCGAACAGGAUUAGAUACCCUGGUAGUCCACACAGUAAACGAUGAGCGCUAGGUGUCCGGGUCGCAUGAGACUUGGGAGCCCGAGCGAAAGCGUUAAGCGCUCCACCUGGGGAGUACGCCGGCAACGGUGAAACUCAAAGGAAUUGACGGGGGCCCGCACAAGCGGAGGAACAUGUGGUUUAAUUCGAUGAUACGCGAGGAACCUUACCCGGGCUCAAACGACUCAGGAAUAUAUUGGAAACGAUGUAGCCAGCAAUGGUCUGAGUCGAGGUGCUGCAUGGUUGUCGUCAGCUCGUGCCGUGAGGUGUCGGCUUAAGUGCCAUAACGAGCGCAACCCCUACCGCCAGUUGCCAACGGGUAAAGCCGGGAACUCUGGCGGGACUGCCGGCGCAAGCUGCGAGGAAGGCGGGGAUGACGUCAAAUCAGCACGGCCCUUACGUCCGGGGCGACACACGUGUUACAAUGGCAGGUACAGCGGGAAGCCACCUGGUGACAGGGAGCGGAACCCGAAAGCCUGUCUCAGUUCGGAUUGGAGUCUGCAACUCGACUCCAUGAAGCUGGAUUCGCUAGUAAUCGCGCAUCAGCCAUGGCGCGGUGAAUACGUUCCCGGGCCUUGUACACACCGCCCGUCAAGCCAUGGGAGCCGGGGGUGCCUGAAGUACGUGACCGCGAGGAGCGUCNUAGGGCAAAACUGGUGACUGGGGCUAAGUCGUAANCAAGGUA